UCUGAGAUGGUCUGAGUUCAUCAAGGAAGAGUGAAGCAUUCUGGGAGUCCACUUCCCUACAAGGCGCUCUACAAGACGUCUCAAAGAGACAGCAACCUCUCAAAGAUAAGUAGAAACUUCACGGUGACCCUGGAACUUUACAAUCUCUCGGGGAGUCCCCUAAAGACACAGGUCCACUGGAUUUGCCCUGUUGGAACCCACUCUGGAGUAGUCUGGAGAACACAGACUAUAAAUGCCCAAGAGACCAGCCUUGCUCACUGGAAACUGCUCACCACCUGCCCAACUGUAUGACAGACAGAAGCCGGUUUGAAAAGAAACUCACAAUUGCCAGCGUGCCCCUUGUGUGAAUCCCACGGCUGGAAGUUUUUCUGUAAAUCGGCAUCUUCAGGCUCAAGAAAUACUAAGAUAUCAAGAAAUACCUGAGAUUUCAUCUAGAUGCUC
rnacentral:lncRNA from 1 species